AGUGAACGCUGGCGGUAGGCCUAACACAUGCAAGUCGAACGGCAGCACAGUAAGAGCUUGCUCUUACGGGUGGCGAGUGGCGGACGGGUGAUGAAUACAUCGGAAUCUACUUUUUCGUGGGGGAUAACGUAGGGAAACUUACGCUAAUACCGCAUACGACCUACGGGUGAAAGCAGGGGAUCUUCGGACCUUGCGCGAUUGAAUGAGCCGAUGUCGGAUUAGCUAGUUGGCGGGUUAAAGGCCCACCAAGGCGACGAUCCGUAGCUGGUCUGAGAGGAUGAUCAGCCACACUGGAACUGAGACACGGUACAGACUCCUACGGGAGGCAGCAGCGGGGAAUAUUGGACAAUGGGCGCAAGCCUAAUCCAGCCAUACCGCGUGGGUGAAGAAGGCGUUCGGCUUGUAGAGCCCUUUUGUUGGGAAAGAAGAGCAGCAGGUUAAUACCCCGCUGUUCUGACGGUACCCAAAGAAUAAGCACCGGCUAACUUCGUG
rnacentral:rRNA from 1 species